UAGGGGUGAACACGCACAUGU
rnacentral:misc_RNA from 1 species